rnacentral:rRNA from 1 species
CCCUUAGAUGUCCUGGGCCGCACGCGCGCUACACUGAGUGUCUGAGAUACGAGUCUGCCUGGUCCGGCAAGGUCUAGGUAAUCGCUAAAAGACACAUCAUGCUUGGGAUAGAUUAUUGCAAAUAUUAAUCUUGAACGAGGAAUUCCUAGUAAGCGCAAGUCAACAGCUUGCGUUGAUUACGUCCCUGCCCUUUGUACACACCGCCCGUCGCUACUACUGAUUGGAUAUUUAAGCGAGGUUCUCGAACUGCUAGCGACUUAGCUUCGGUGAGGUCGCAGUGUGGGAAGUGAACCUAGCUUUGGUGUCUAGAGGAAGUAAAAGUCGUAACA